rnacentral:rRNA from 1 species
GACGAACGCUGGCGGCGUGCUUAACACAUGCAAGUCGAACGGAAAGGCCCUGCUUGCCGGGUACUCGAGUGGCGAACGGGUGAGUAACACGUGGGUGCUCUGCCCUUCACUUCGGGAUAAGCCUGGAAAACUGGGUCUAAUACCGGAUAGGAGCCAUUUUUAGUGUGUUGGUUGGAAAGUUUUUUCGGUGUAGGAUGAGCUCGCGGCCUAUAAGCUUGUUGGUGGGGUAAUGGCCUACCAAGGCGGCGACGGGUAGCCGGCCUGAGAGGGUGGACGGCCACACUGAGGCCGAGGUGAGGCACAGGCGCCGAAGGGAGGCAGCAGUGGGGAAUAUUGCACAAUGGGCGCAGGCCUGAUGAAGCGGCGCCGCGUGGGGGAUGACGGCCUUGGGGUUGUAAAAAACUUUCGCGAGAAACGAAGCUUUUUGUGACGGUACCUAGAGAAGAAGCACCGGCUAACUACGUG